rnacentral:rRNA from 1 species
AAACUUAAAUGAAUUUGACGGGGACCCGCACAAGCGGUGGAUGAUGUGGUUUAAUUCGAUGCAACGCGAAAACCUUACCCACCUUUGACAUGUACGGAAUCCUUUAGAGAUAGAGGAGUGCUCGAAAGAGAACCGUAACACAGGUGCUGCAUGGCUGUCGUCAGCUCGUGUCGUGAGAUGUUGGGUUAAGUCCCGCAACGAGCGCAACCCUUGUCAUUAGUUGCUACAUUCAGUUGGGCACUCUAAUGAGACUGCCGGUGACAAACCGGAGGAAGGUGGGGAUGACGUCAAGUCCUCAUGGCCCUUAUAGGUGGGGCUACACACGUCAUACAAUGGCUGGUACAGAGGGUUGCCAACCCGCGAGGGGGAGCCAAUCCCAUAAAGCCAGUCGUAGUCCGGAUCGCAGUCUGCAACUCGACUGCGUGAAGUCGGAAUCGCUAGUAAUCGCGGAUCAGAAUGUCGCGGUGAAUACGUUCCCGGGUCUUGUACACACCGCCCGUCACACCAUGGGAGCGGGUUCUGCCAGAAGUAGUUAGCCUAACCGCAAGGAGGGCGAUUACCACGGCAGGGUUCGUGACUGGGGUGAAGUCGUAACAAGGUAGCCGUAUCGGAAGGUGCGGCUGGAUCACCUCCUUUG